AUUGAACGCUGGCGGCAGGCCUAACACAUGCAAGUCGAGCGGCAGCGGAAAGUAGCUUGCUACUUUGCCGGGGAGCGGCGGACGGGUGAGUAAUGUCUGGGAAACUGCCUGAUGGAGGGGGAUAGCUACUGGAAACGGUAGCUAAUACCGCAUAACGUCGCAAGACCAAAGAGGGGGACCUUCGGGCCUCUUGCCAUCAGAUGUGCCCAGAUGGGAUUAGCUAGUAGGUGGGGUAACGGCUCACCUAGGCGACGAUCCCUAGCUGGUCUGAGGGGAUGACCAGCCACACUGGAACUGAGAUACGGUCCAGACUCCUACGGGAGGCAGCAGUGGGGAAUAUUGCACAAUGGGCGCAAGCCUGAUGCAGCCAUGCCGCGUGUAUGAAGAAGGCCUUCGGGUUGUAAAGUACUUUCAGCGGGGAGGAAGGUGUUGUGGUUAAUAACCACAGCGAUUGACGUUACCCGCAGAAGAAGCACCGGCUAACUCCGUGCCAGCCGCCGCCGUAA
rnacentral:rRNA from 1 species